rnacentral:lncRNA from 1 species
UACCCAAAACUUUGAAAAUUGCCGCAAUUCUUCCAGCAGCUAAGAAGACUAAACAACUGAUUUGAAUUUGCAUUACUUGUUCACACCAUCACCCAAGUUAAGCAGAGCAUCAGUGAUAGCAGCAGUGGAUGUGAGAGAGGCUUUCAGUAGGCCACAAGCCUGCACCAUUUCAAAAAAAAAAAAACUUAAUUACUCUCAACAUCUAAACAAAUACAUACAUAAAAACCUCAUAUCUUACUCAAAUUGUAUCACCUCUUUCAAUCCUAUAUGCACCUCCAGUUCUUCGAC